rnacentral:rRNA from 1 species
UGGGGAAUUUUGGACAAUGGGCGCAAGCCUGAUCCAGCAAUGCCGCGUGCAGGACGAAGGCCUUCGGGUUGUAAACUGCUUUUGUACAGAACGAAAAGGCUCUGGUUAAUACCCGGGGCUCAUGACGGUACUGUAAGAAUAAGCACCGGCUAACUACGUGCCAGCAGCCGCGGUAAUACGUAGGGUGCAAGCGUUAAUCGGAAUUACUGGGCGUAAAGCGUGCGCAGGCGGUUUUGUAAGACAGAGGUGAAAUCCCCGGGCUCAACCUGGGAACUGCCUUUGUGACUGCAAGGCUGGAGUACGGCAGGGGGGGUAUGGAAUUCCGCGUGUAGCAGUGAAAUGCGUAGAUAUGCGGAGGAACACCGAUGGCGAAGGCAGUCCCCUGGGCCUGUACUGACGC